rnacentral:rRNA from 1 species
GAUGAACGCUGGCGGCGUGCCUAAUACAUGCAAGUCGAGCGAACAGACGAGGAGCUUGCUCCUCUGACGUUAGCGGCGGACGGGUGAGUAACACGUGGAUAACCUACCUAUAAGACUGGGAUAACUUCGGGAAACCGGAGCUAAUACCGGAUAAUAUAUUGAACCGCAUGGUUCAAUAGUGAAAGACGGUUUUGCUGUCACUUAUAGAUGGUUCCGGGCCGCAUUAGCUAGUUGGUAAGGUAACGGCUUACCAAGGCAACGAUGCGUAGCCGACCUGAGAGGGGGAUCGGCCACACUGGAACUGAGACACGGUCCAGACUCCUACGGGAGGCAGCAGUAGGGAAUCUUCCGCAAAGGGCGAAAGCUUGACGGAGCAACGCCGCGUGAGUGAUGAAGGUCUUCGGAUCGUAAAGCUCUGUUAUUAGGGAAGAACAAAUGUGUAAGUAACUAUGCACGUCUUGACGGUACCUAAUCAGAAAGCCACGGCUAACUACGUG